rnacentral:rRNA from 1 species
AUUGAACGCUGGCGGCAUGCCUAACACAUGCAAGUCGAACGGUAACAGGCCCUUCGGGCGCUGACGAGUGGCGGACGGGUGAGUAAUGCUUAGGAAUCUGCCUAGUAGUGGGGGAUAACCCGGGGAAACUCGGGCUAAUACCGCAUACGUCCUACGGGAGAAAGCGGGGGACCUUCGGGCCUCGCGCUAUUAGAUGAGCCUAAGUCCGAUUAGCUAGUUGGUAGGGUAACGGCCUACCAAGGCGACGAUCGGUAGCUGGUCUGAGAGGACGACCAGCCACACUGGGACUGAGACACGGCCCAGACUCCUACGGGAGGGCAGCAGUGGGGAAUAUUGGACAAUGGGCGCAAGCCUGAUCCAGCGAUGCCGCGUGUGUGAAGAAGGCCUGCGGGUUGUAAAGCA